rnacentral:rRNA from 1 species
AUUGAACGCUUGCGGCAGGCCUAACACAUGCAAUUCGAACGAGUGGCGGACGGGUGAGUAAUGUCUGGGAAACUGCCUGAUGUAGGGGGAUAACUACUGGACACGGUAGCUAAUACCGCAUACCAUCAGAUGUGCCCAGAUGGGAUUAGCUAGUAGGUGGGGUAACGGCUCACCUAGGCGACGAUCCCUAUCUGGUCUGAGAGGAUGACCAGCCACACUGUGACUGAGACACGGUCCAGACUCCUAAGGGAGGCAGCAGUGGGGAAUAGUGCACAAUGGGCGCAAGCCUGAUGCAGCCAUGCCGCGUGUAUGAAGAAGGCCUUAGGGUUGUAAAGUACUUUCAGCGGGGAGGCGUUACCCGCAGAAGAAGCACCGGCUAACUCCGGGCCAGCCGCCGCGGUAAUUC